GUUGAGAGGAAUGUCGUCUGGCCCGAGACCGCGCCAUGGGUACGCGUGGACGGUCUCGGACCAGGCUUCAUUCCCCCCAAC
rnacentral:pre_miRNA from 1 species